UGGGGAAUUUUGGACAAUGGGCGAAAGCCUGAUCCAGCCAUGCCGCGUGCAGGAUGAAGGCCUUCGGGUUGUAAACUGCUUUUGUACGGAACGAAAAGACUCCUUCUAAUAAAGGGAGUCCAUGACGGUACCGUAAGAAUAAGCACCGGCUAACUACGUGCCAGCAGCCGCGGUAAUACGUAGGGUGCGAGCGUUAAUCGGAAUUACUGGGCGUAAAGCGUGCGCAGGCGGUUAUAUAAGACAGAUGUGAAAUCCCCGGGCUCAACCUGGGAACUGCAUUUGUGACUGUAUAGCUAGAGUACGGCAGAGGGGGAUGGAAUUCCGCGUGUAGCAGUGAAAUGCGUAGAUAUGCGGAGGAACACCGAUGGCGAAGGCAAUCCCCUGGGCCUGUACUGACGCUCAUGCACGAAAGCGUGGGGAGCAAACAGG
rnacentral:rRNA from 1 species